rnacentral:rRNA from 1 species
AGUCGAUCAUGGCUCAGAUUGAACGCUGGCGGGAUGCUUACAGCUACGUAAUGAACGGCAGCACGGACUUCGGUCUGGUGGCGGGAGAGAGUGGCGAACGGGUGAGUAAUGUAUCGGAACGUGCCUAGUAGCGGGGGAUAACUACGCGUAGGUAGCUACUACCGCAUACCCUUCGGGGAAAGCGGGGACCUUCGGGCCUCGCACUAUUAGAGCGGCCGAUAUCGGAUUAGCUAGUUGGUGGGGUAACGGCUCACCAAGGCGACGAUCCGUAGCUGGUUUGAGAGGACGACUGUGCCACACUGGGACUGAGACACGGCCCAGACUCCUACGGGAGGCAGUGCGGGGAAUUUUGGACAAUGGGGAAACCCUGAUCCAGCCAUCCCGCGUGUGCGAUGAAGGCCUUCGGGCUGUAAAGCACUUUUGGCAGGAAAGAAACGGCACGGGAUAAUACCCCGUGCAACUGACGGUACCUGCAGAAUAAGCACCGCCAACUACGUGCCAGCAGCCGCGGUAAUACGUAGGUGCAAGCGUUAAUCGGAAUUACUGGGCGUAAAGCGUGCGCAGGCGGUUCGGAAAGAAAGAUGUGAAAUCCUGUAUUUAACUUUGGAACUGCAUUUUUAACUACCGAGCUAGAGUGUGUCAGAGGGAGGUGGAAUUCGCGUGUAGCAGUGAAAUGCGUAGAUAUGCGGAGGGACACCGAUGGCGAAGGCACGCCUCCUCGGGAUAAUGACGCUCGCGCACGAAAGCGUGGGGAGCAAACAGGAUUAGAUACCCCGGUAGUCCACGCCCUAAACGAUGUCAACUAGCUGUUGGGGCCUUCGGGCCUUGGUAGCGCAGCUAACGCGUGAAGCUGGACCGUGUCUGGGGAGUACGGUCGCAAGAUUAAAACUCAAAGGAAUUGACGGGGACCCGCACAAGCGGUGGAUGAUGUGAUUAAUCUGGAUGCAACGCGAAAACCUUACCUACCCUUGACAUGUCUGGAAUCCCGAAGAGAUUUGGGAGUGCUCGCAAGAGAACCGGAACACAGGUGCUGCAUGGCUGUCGUCAGCUCGUGUCGCAGGAUGUUGGGCUAAGUCCCGCAACGAAAGCGCAACCUCGCAUACGACACAUGAAAGGGCACUCCGGAUUGAGACUGCCGGUGACAAACUGGAGGAAGGUGGGGAUGACGUCAAGUCCUCAUGGCCCUUAUGGGUAGGGCUUCACACGUCAUACAAUGGUCGGGACAGAGGGUCGCCAACCCGCGAGGGGGAGCAAUCCAGAAACCCGAUCGUAGUCCGAUCGCAGUCUGCAACUCGACUGCGUGAAGUCGGAAUCGCUAGUAAUCGCGGAUCAGCAUGUCGCGGUGAAUACGUUCCUGGGUCUUGUACACACGCCCGUCACACCAUGGGAGUGGGUUUUACCAGAAGUAGUUAGCCUAACCGUAAGGAGGGCGAUUACCACGGUAGGAUUCAUGACUGGGGUGAAGUCGUAACAAGGUAG